UGUGUAGGUGGUUUGAUAAGUUGGAUGUGAAAGCUCCCGGCUUAACUGGGAGAGGUCGUUCAAAACUAUCAGACUCGAGAGUGGUAGAGGGAGGUGGAAUUCCGCGUGUAGUGGUGAAAUGCGUAGAUAUGCGGAGGAACACCAGUGGCGAAAGCGGCCUCCUGGACCAUUUCUGACACUCAGACACGAAAGCUAAGGUAGCAAACGG
rnacentral:rRNA from 1 species